rnacentral:lncRNA from 1 species
UUUUUAGGUCCGGAUCCGAGUGAGGCGGUUGAGGAUUGUGGCAAGGGCAUUGUAACAUACCAGAUUUUGGUAUAAAGAUAAAAAUAAAUAAAAAUAGUGUGAGAAAAUAUUUUUAUUGGAUUUGUAGAAGUAAAACAUAAGUCAGAAGUAAUUUGUGCUGAAAUCGGAAUGAAAACAGAAGAUUUAGAAUUUUCUGUUGGAAACGGGACAGAUAAAUUAGCAGAAAAUGCACAGUCUCAGAAAAUUAUG